rnacentral:misc_RNA from 1 species
GAAAGAGGCUGACACAUCUGGUAACUAGUUUACGGUCAUCUGCCUCUAAGCGACAUUUAGGUGCUCUGCCUGGCCCAGACCAUCCACACGCAGGAGGAAGAUCUGCCCAGACCCUCCAUCUCGGCUGAGCCAGGCACCGUGAUCCCCCUGGGGAGCCAUGUGACUUUCGUGUGCCGGGGCCCGGUUGGGGUUCAAACAUUCCGCCUGGAGAGGGAGAGUAGAUCCACAUACAAUGAUACUGAAGAUGUGUCUCAAGCUAGUCCAUCUGAGUCAGAGGCCAGAUUCCGCAUUGACUCAAAACCUCUGGAGGCCCGGACUCCCCGGACACAGAGCCCGGCUCCUCAGCUGGACCCACGCAGAGGCCGUCGGACAACAGUCACAAUGAGCAUGCACCUGCUUCCCAAGGCCUGAAAGCUGAGCAUCUGUAUAUUCUCAUCGGGGUCUCAGUGGUCUUCCUCUUCUGUCUCCUCCUCCUGGUCCUCUUCUGCCUCCAUCGCCAGAAUCAGAUAAAGCAGGGGCCCCCCAGAAGCAAGGACGAGGAGCAGAAGCCACAGCAGAGGCCUGACCUGGCUGUUGAUGUUCUAGAGAGGACAGCAGACAAGGCCACAGUCAAUGGACUUCCUG